rnacentral:lncRNA from 1 species
UUAAGGUAUACUUCUCUACUUCUACCUGGAAUUGAAAACUUGUGCUUGCUGAUUGUUUUUUUUUUCUUUUUUUCCCCCAUCCAAACAGGAGCGACGGGGAUAAUCGAAGUAAAUUCCGACUUGGUAAUUUACCUAGACACAAUUAUAAAAUUGAAUACAAUUUGGAACGCGCACGCUAAUGGCAAAGCGGCAAAACCAGCCUCAAUCCAGUCCAUGUACCUAAAUUAUGAGCAAGUGGCAAACUUGAAGAAAGACUCAACAGUUGACUUAAUUUUGGACACGAGUGUUGGUUGCUUGAUUAGCGCAGGAAUCACAAUAAAUGGCUUUAAAACAGAACCAAUACCUGAAAAAUCCGAAAAAUUGGGAAACGCAUUUGCAGAACGUCUUAACUUCGCACCGUAUGGUAAAACUACGUUCAAGGAUUUACGAGACUUUGCACGUGCUAGUUUUCAAAUUAUGGCUGAAAAUUCAUGUCACCGUCUAAAUGGUUUGAAAAAAUCCAUUGAAAUGAAAGUGUUCGAGGAAAAUGGCAAUACAUCCUCACGAUCACUCGCUGAUGUAUUCACAAAUGUUGUGCGAACUAGUGAUGAUUUGAAUGUGGAAUUUGUGCCCUCUCUUUCGUGUGCCAAAAACGGUUCUUCCUCUGGCAUCAGUCUUUUGUGCAUUUCAGAUCUGAAAACUAUGUCCCGAAUGCCAAUGGAGGAAGACCGUGAUAACGUUCACGUGAUUGUAGCGGUCCCAGUCAAGAUUCAGAUGAAAGAUAUUUUAGAUUCGGCUUCGAAGUGUGAACAUAACUAUGCCGUAAUAUACGAGCAAGCAUUCGGUCCUCUCCGAUACGUACUUUUGAAAAAGAAAAUCUUUGGUCAGAAACUGAAAGUCCGUCACGUGUCAAACAGAGUGAUAUCCACUCCGUAUGAUUUGGGACUUGAGAGGAACACAAAGGAUGAAUGUUCGGUUUUGGUCUUCACAAAGUCUCAGUCCGGAAAUCCUGCCAUCUUAAUGCGGAACCUUUUAAAGAAGGCUGGAAAGAGGAAAUUAAAAUUUUUCUUCUUAUUGGACGACGACGCUCCACCAUUCUCUCUCACCGAGAAGGUCUAUCAGGAACAGUUGGAUAGAGAUGUAGCUGUAAAUGUACUGAAAAACGGAAGAUGGGGCAGUUUUCUUGGAACCCCGCUUCAGAAACCAGCCCACAAAGAUGUGGCACAAAUCUUUCCAAUGUCGGCCACGUGUCAAAGGAAGUUGACAUUCGAUAUGUCGGCUUAAACCCUGGAAGUUGCAGAACGAAGGAGACGCCAGCCGUUUUGGAUUACUCUGGGGUCACUUCAACAGGAUGCCAUGUGAUUGGCAUUGCCCAAAAAUAUGAAGGUUUCAAAAGCAAAAUGUCUCUGGAUCCUGUUUUCCAGUGGGCCGUUCCAGAUUCUCUCCUAUUGGACGAGGCAGCUACUCUUCCAUCUGCGUAUUUAAUGGUUUGUUCUAAUGUUUUAUAGAAAAUUAUUCCAGUGAAUUUUCGAAAAAAAUUAUUAAAUAUGAACAAACAAGAACAAUUUUUCAAUAAGAUUGGGAUGCAGGAUUGCAGAUAAAUAUUUGAAGUGAUUAAAACUGGAUCUUCCUUGCAUUGUUCUCAAACAGAUCCAAACAUUGAAUUUAUUGUUGAAUUACGAUUAAAAUAUUUUAAGAUCGUAACUUCUCAUCUUGUACACUUUUAAGAGGGCUUAGCCAUGGAGCAAAAUUAUAUUUUUUACGACCAUAUUUUUUAAAAAAAUAUUAACGGUAUAUUUUUUAACUACAGUAAAGAGUAUUUUAGUGUUUGAGUGAAAAUAGCAUAUCUUAUAAUUUCGGCAAGUCAAACCAUGUCAGCUCAACUGUAUCUUUUAGAACUUGAUCCAAACUACUGAUAUAUUAUUUAAAAAUUCAACUCAAUUAC